AAUGAAAUAUAAAUGGCCAGACGUGACUCGAAUUAAAAGGAAUUACGCAAUUCAGGCUUGAAUACCCACAUGGCUAAAAUUAGAUGUCACUAUAGAAUUUACAGGAUUGGUGAAAAAAAACAGAGACCGCGCCUUUAUCGGCAAUCGAGCCCAGACUUUCAUGUUUCUAUGUAGGCAAUGGUAUUUCCAAUCACACCAUUACUUCAACAGAAUUUUAUACGACUUUGUCGCCACAUAAAGUUGCUUAAUAGAAUUUAGAUAUGUCAUAUAAUGAAACUAACGAAUUCUGAAUUUCCUCCUUUUCAAUUUUUAUAAUCUUUCCAUGAACGUAGUUGUAGAAAUUGUUGAAAAUUGUGGAUCUUUGAAGCCGAAAUAAUGUUAUAGGAACACUAAAUUUAUACUGAGGAUUAAUAUUAAAAUAAUGAAAUAUUUAUUUCAUGAACGAUUCCUUAUAUAUUCAUGGAUACACACUUGCACGCGUCUCGGCACUUUCUUCUAUACCCGACUGUUAACCGACUCUUAACCGACUGAAGAGUUUACAUUCCUUUGUUUUCGAGACGCUUCGGACACACAUACUUUCACACACUGAUAUUCACAUACAAGUAUCUCUACUACGCAUUUAACCUAGUCCAGCACAGAAAAUUAUACAUAUCUCAACAGAAAUAUAUCGAUAUAAUAUAGAAUACAACGAAAAGUGAACAUAGGAAAAAUAAGGAAUUUAAAUAAAUUGGGUUAGUUUUUCUAGAUAUUAGUAAUACACAUAAACAAACACAAUAUCAUAGUAGUUCUCAACAGAUAGCGAAAAGGUUAGAUUAUAAGUAUAUUCAGUCACGUGACUCGAAACGCGUCCCACAUUACCCACCAAACUGAGCACGGAUUCCGUCAAUGCUUCCACACGCGCAUUUCUAUAUCUCCUAAAAUACGUCUGGCGAGAGAACAGGAGUGUUACAGGUUGAUAAGCGAACGAUGUUUUACUGCCGUGAGGGCAUAUAACAAUGCCGCUUUGUUCGUACCGCGGCGACGCCGACUUAAAGCCGGUGUUUUCUACUGAUACAGAAUAAAUUUAUCCAUUGGUCGGCGACAUAGUUGACCGGCCGACUACAACAGUGGCCUCUAGAGUCACGUGAUCCGUGAAAUUCCUAAUAUCCUAUAUAUACAAACAAAAAUUUAUGUCCUCUACUACGAAUACGAAAAUAUUUGAAAUUUCAUGGCACAAGAAAACGAAGUUUUAAAUUACAAGAAGAAGAAAAUUAUAAUCUCAAUUUUCAAUUUCACGUUCAUCCCUGUUUAAAAUAUCUUCCCUGUUUCUUCUAACCAUCAACGUAGGUGGUAGAACAACAAGGAAAGAUCAAAGCUGUAGGUGAUCCUAUCUGCCGGCGGCUUUAGAAGCACAAUUAAUCUCUUUCGGUGCGCGUGAAGGGAAACGCCGACGAGUAACGUGAAAGGUCGAGAGUUCCCCGCCAGCCAGUGACCCUGCGGUAUUUUUCUUUUUGAAAUAACUUUAAAACACAAAUAUAAGUUUUUCCCACAUGAUUAAAUGAUGUCAUAAGGAGACAUCGAACACGAUAAGCGAAAGAAGUGUGAAAUUCCAAUUAGAGGCACUGAAGUGUGCAAAAAUAUGUCACCAAGUCACUGAUGCGCCCUUCAUCAUGGACGAUAUAAGAACCGGGCGUGAGGCGACAGAAAUAUGUAUUGCUAGUCGAUCGUAGCAGGCCGUGCCGAACAGUUCCAGCGCAGCGCAAGAACGGGAAUGUUAAUGCCGCAUCAAGAGUUAUGAUAAAUGGUGUGAUUUUGCAAGGGGCGCGCGAAGAAAUAUGUUACUGUCGCUCCACAGACGUAGAAGAAAUAGCUCUUAAUAGUGUAGAGACGUGGUUUGAUCGGUACGCAAUGUACGAUUCUAUAUUAAUAACAUGGACAUAAAAAAUUAAAGUAAAUCUUAGUAAGAUAAGAUAUUUAUCAGAUUUUUAUAUUUGCUUUACAGUGCAGUAAUUUUUAAAACAUUCUUAUUAUUUGCCUGACAGUAGGAUUCAGAAUGAGAUCUAAGAUAGAAUUCCACUAAGUGACAUACAAGUGAGUUGAGCAUACCUAAUUUAAUGUCCUUUACUACGUGAUUUUAUGUGUGAUUCUGUAUGCAAUACUUUGUGUAAUUUUUCGGUCAUAUAACGCAUUUCUAUUCUUCUGUGUCAUUGGAAAUUAAAAAAAUAAUGUUAUAGUACUGGAAUGAAAAGAGCUAUGAAACUUCAAUUAUAGGUUAAGACUGAAAAUUCUUAUGCAUGAUUUAUUGGAGGUCAGUAGACAGUGUCAAUGAUAACACUGUUCCUAUUCAGUGGAAGAUCGCCACACGACACGCUAUACCCGCUGAGAAGCUACAAACGAGUCAAUGAUCUCUCUAACCACUUCCCGUAAACAAACAGUUCGGCGCACGCCAUGCGACGCGCAGAGGUCGAAACGCAUCAGGCGCUCAUAGGUUGCGUACACACUAAACAAGAACAAAUCAUACCAACCUACGAUUCGUUGGUCGGGCUAAGGUAUCCAACUUACUUAUUACAAUGAAAGUACAAAUACAAAAAGCAAUAAGACUGCAAAACAAACGUAUGUGAAAAGACAGAUUUUGACUGCACCAGCAUACAAAAAUUGGGGAAUUAACCGCAACAUAUAAAAAAAAUUCGGACGAAGAAUGAAAACGUAGAAUGAAAAGAGAAACAGAGAGGGGAGUAAGAAAGGACGAAUGAAGGAAAGACGAAGAAGACGAAAAAAGACAAAACGCGAAGACUCCCUCUCCUCGCUUCUCUUUCCUGGCCGUACGCUGUCGUCGAGACGGCAACUGGCGAUGCAAUGUCGAGUGCCGAGUGCUAUAUAUAGGUGGCCCUGAGUGUGCAAAAAUCACCCUACAAAAAUCUGGAUCAAGGGGCCAUUCACCAACUACGCCAAGCAUUACGCGGUGUCUGGUGUAUCCUAGAGCACGCCAAAGCGCCUUCAACAGACGUCGUCCAGAUCGACGUCGCCGUCGUCGUCGACGUCGUCAUCGUUUGUCCCUGAUACAUACAUCAGAAUGUUGCGUGCGGGCAUUCUUACAUCCAUAUAUAGUAAAAGCCGAAUCAAAUUCUGUACUGUCGCUGUCUGCCAAUGCUGUCGUUCCCCUGCCACUUGUUCAGCGCUCGAAAGAUACAUUAAGAUGAUCGUUAACGCUGACUGUGCAGGUUUUAUAUUCGGGUCGAUCCGAUUCACGCAAGCGUGGGACGUUUGAUUGUCGAUUUGCAUGAUCGUGGGUGCGGCUCGUAUUAGAUUUUACAUUUACGAUUUAUUUUUAUACUUCCUUCUCUCUUGCUCUAUAAUGUAAUUAAAUUUGUAAUAGUCUUCAGAUGAAAGUAGAUCGCUAGAACGUUCUUGACACGUCCGAUUGGUUGCUGAAUCACGAUAAGCGUUAAGCUGUGCCCUCACUGGCGCGAUAAUUAGAAAUCUGUCGCUGAUAAUCCAUGUUUCUUGAAGAAAUUGCUGAUAUUUGUUGCCUAUUGUUUCUCUAGGUGCCUUUACGCUCGCCAGUUACCAGUAACAAAAUAUGCUGUUUAUUAUAUAUUGUUGUUUCUAUGAGGAUGCACCUUUAGGUUAUGGCUUUUAUGGUUAGUAAGUCCAUAUUUUAACAAACUGUCGUUCUAACGAAUACGUCGAAACAAUUAUAUAUAGAUAGAUAAUAUAUAGAUUCCUACGAAUAUAUGGGUUAACAAUUCUCAAAUGUUUUAUUCAAACGUUUUAUAAACGGCAGUUAGUCAGAACACGCGUUAUAUCUAUAGCAUUAGAUCAGUGCAUGGUGAUAAUUGAAAUUCGCGUGACUAGUGGCGCCAGAAACCUGCUAGAGAUCGGGCGACGCGAUAAGUCAGCCGCAGGCCAGCGUUCAGCCGACAGAAAAAUCCUCGUGCGAUAUCCCUGCAAAGCAACUGAGCACAGGUUGUCCGAAAAUGGGCAAACCUCUUCCAAGAGAAAAGAGGCAGGUCCGUUGUUAUACUUCCUUACACGCGUAAUUAUGACCGUAUUUGUCGUCACGACUGAGAUCAGUCUUACCUAUCUGCUCACUGAUCAUGCUAACUCGUCUCCUCCUUUCACCUCCACCUCUGAUCCCCCUCAACUUUUACAAUUACUAUUACAACUCAACAGUUCCCCUAUCAUUUUUCCACGAGUCUCCACCCCUUUUUCCCUUAUAUUCAUUUCCACCUCCGUUCAGAUUCCUUUUACGGACUUUCUCGUUUCUUUCCUCUUACUCUCGCCAUCUUUCUCCCCUCCAUACUGCAUCUACACUGACUGCUCCCGACUGUAACUGGCACUUCACCUUUCUCCAUUUUCCUUAUUUUUCUAUGGUUCUCUACCAAUCAUAAAUACGAUAUUAUAGUAUGAUCAUUUUAAGAAAUAUUCAUGGUAUAAAUAUGAAUAAAGUAUAUAGUUUGCGCGUAAGCUCGCAUAUACUUGUACGUAUAUGAGCACAGUUGAGAACUGCGUGAGUGAGAUACAUAAUGUGUCAUGUCGGUUUUCAAUGAUGAUUUUCCUAACGAACCGCGAAAUUAAAGGAUUCUCAGAGGCAUCGCGGCCGUCGUGCACGAUCACUCACCGUUACCACCCGCUCCACGCACAACCGUGAAGAGAAAUCGAGCGGGAACCGUACGAAGAAUCGGUGUGCGCGCGCAACUGCAGCGUUCUGCUGAUCCUUGCGUGCUUCCAGAAUUUCUAGCGUUCGGAUAACUUAAUCUCGAGGAGUGUCUCCGGUUUCAUGGAAACGCAAUCUUCCUAACCUAACACACUUACGCACCUUUAUUCUACCAACCUGUUAUUUAUUGAGCCGUUGCGAAUUGAAAUUCUGUAUAAGUCGAAAAUUGAAUUUUUUAAAGUUUAUUAGAACACAAGAUACCGUUGAUCUAUAGAGGUUAGGAAUGAUGUAUAACAGAUCAGUACAGGAUAAACGUACUAGCAAAUAUUAUUCACAUUUCAUCUUACUCUGUUUAUUUUUUAACCAUACACUUGCUAUUCAUUCGAACCACCGUACUCGUUGCACCCACGCAUCACAUCGGCCGUGAAUCACAUCGAUUCCGUGCAUUCACACGCACACAGAAUCGCGAACCUAACGUACGAUAUCCGGUGCUCGUCGCGUACAUCGACGCUCGUCGUUCUCGCCCUCGUUCGCGGAAUGAGACACGGCGAAAUUUUAAAUUCGCUCUCGCUUUCUCGCCGUCUUCUUCGAAACCCUCGCGAUGAAAAUAUUUCCAGUAAACCAAAAAGAACAGCUAUCGCUGUACUCGGCUGCGUGAUAACUUUCAACUAGCUAUCGGAGUUUCUCUCGUCCGAAAAAGAAAAGACGAAAAGAGAAAGAAGAUAAGAAGAUUCGUGAAAAAAUAAACUUUUCUGGAGGAAAAUUUUGAAUAUUCUAUUCUCAAUUUGAAGAAACGAGUGCGUAUAUGAACGGAUUUUCGUUACAAAAUCACUUUUUCCAUUUUGCGUAAACUUGUGCACAAUUCGCGAGAAUACACACUGAUUCUUACACGAGAGAUAAAAUUGACAGUAGACACAUGUACAUACGUAGUUCAGGAUCAGAUCCAAAUUACCUUUAUUUAAAUUAUUUAAAUUUAACAUAUCGCCACUAAUAGAUAGUACCGUCCUAUUUUGACUCUCGAGGUUGUUACAUAUUUAAAACUUUCAUAAACAAUGCAAAACAUAAUUUUAAAGGAAGUGCAUGUAAAUUAUAACUUGAAAACACAGACUCGAUAAAUCUCGUAAUAAUCUACAUCACGAUAGCGUAAGAGGCGAAUGAUGUGUAUCGUGCGCGCGAAUAACGCGUGCCAAAUGGAAGGGGCCACGUAACCGGUCGGUGCACGACCAGAAACGAUCUCGUAAAGAAUACGACGAUGCGGUAAGAAAGCGUUGAAACCAUUCGUCAAGGGUCUCUCGCGUUUAGUCGAAACCUCGGUCGUCUGUCUCUCUCGAUAUGACCGAGCGUUAUUGUAGAAGGGGCGAAGAGACAGGCAAAACGAAACGACCGCGAGAGGGCGACAAAAAACGAUCAAACGAGUAAUGUCGCUCGCGUAAUUCACUGUUUCGCUCGACGGAGUUCUGCGGGAUCUGAUGGAGAUGAGAAUGAGAUAGAAAACAACGGUUGUAUCACCAUAUAGUGUUUUAAAAUGUUUAAUUACGAAAAAGUCAUUCAACACAUAAUUCAUAGUUUGCAGAUACAAUAUUAGAUGAAUCACUCGGACAUCACGCGUUUGGAAAUUGACCAUUUGUGGCUGCAUCUACUUGAAAGUGAAAGUGUCAUCAAAUUUUUGCAAUCUGUUCAUUACAAAACUUAAAUAUGCAGCAACUACGAAGAGUAUUUGUACAGAUUCUUAUUUUCCACUAAAGCGGUUUUUAAUCAGAUUCUAUAUUCCAUUUUUGCUGUUCAGCAAAUUUUUGCAGUCAUAUGAAAGUACUAUUAAAUGAUGAAAAAUUCAAUAUACUUGAAACUAAUUAAUUAGAAUAUAUAUGUAGCUGCUAUAAUAAAGACAAUGUGCUGUACAAGUACUUUUUGUAGCUGCUCUAUGUCUCUCUCUACAAAAUUCAUGAUACAUAAAACAAACGAUUGCAUAUUUUACAUGUAGGAGAAUUACAAAAGAAGAGUCAUCGACCGUAGAAUGUUAUUCUUUAAGACAGUAGAGAUAACUAACCUCCGUGUCCAUUAUUACCUGUGUACCUAUUUAAAUAAUUGUCGUAGCUGUUAUCAAACAAUGAGAACAUCACGGUAGAGCAGAACGAGAAAACCACGGACACUAUCGAAGUGUAAAGAGCUCUCGAAGACAGAAGAGGUAGAAGUAUGGAACGAGACGAAAGAGGGAAGAGCAAUACAGGGGAAGUGCAGGGAGCAACAAGAAGAUGCGUUUGAAGAGCAAGCGGCCGAAACAGAAGAGGGGUGAGGAAGGAGGCGCGGGUGUUAGGGGAGAGUUGCUCGGUGUGCUGCCACACUCAGAAUGGAGUCGAGUGCCAGAGAGUCGGUUGUCCGUGUAUUUCAGGCGGCACGGGCCACUGCACUACCCCUACUACUUGUCGCGCCGACACUCUGUUCUGGAAUACUCGGCAGACACUAACGUAUGUCCUCGGAAUCCGCUUUUGAGCUUGCUAUAAGGAACAAAGAAAAGGAAAAAGGAAGAAAGAUGGAAGGAACGAAUACCGUGCUAUACCGUAAAACUAUUUCCAGCGAAGCGCCGAUCAUGAUAACUGAUAAGGUUUGGGGAAUGCAGCGGGAGAAGAAAACGACACCAAUCUAGAAUCUACUUUUCUGAUAUAUAAUUCAUCUAUCGUGUCUUCUGAAUAAGUUUUGUAAAGAAUUUUGGAAAGACAUCAUAUAUAUAUUCAACACAGUUCGCCAUAGUCUCACUGAAAAAAUGUAUAAUAUUUAGAGGGCACUUGCAACCUCGAUCUCAACAAUACGUUAUAUAUACGUCAACUGUUGGUAGUUGUUACUCGCGGAGGCACCAUUAACCCUUUCAGUGGACGCAAUAGAGUGGUUACAUUUCCGGAAUGCCGAGGCUGUCUAUCUUACCAUGGAAUUAUUCCCGAAUUACUUUCACAAUUUAUAUACAUAAUAAUUCUAAUAACAACCUCGUUCCUCUCUCUUCGCUAAUA